GGUUAAGCGACUAAGCGUACACGGUGGAUGCCCUGGCAGUCAGAGGCGAUGAAGGACGUGCUAAUCUGCGAUAAGCGUCGGUAAGGUGAUAUGAACCGUUAUAACCGGCGAUUUCCGAAUGGGGAAACCCAGUGUGAUUCGUCACACUAUCAUUAACUGAAUCCAUAGGUUAAUGAGGCGAACCGGGGGAACUGAAACAUCUAAGUACCCCGAGGAAAAGAAAUCAACCGAGAUUCCCCCAGUAGCGGCGAGCGAACGGGGAGCAGCCCAGAGCCUGAAUCAGUGUGUGUGUUAGUGGAAGCGUCUGGAAAGGCGUGCGAUACAGGGUGACAGCCCCGUACACAAAAAUGCACAUAUUGUGAGCUCGAUGAGUAGGGCGGGACACGUGGUAUCCUGUCUGAAUAUGGGGGGACCAUCCUCCAAGGCUAAAUACUCCUGACUGACCGAUAGUGAACCAGUACCGUGAGG
rnacentral:rRNA from 1 species